AAGUACAUCCACUCGGCCAACGUGAUCCACCGCGACCUGAAGCCCAGCAACCUGCUGCUGAACGCCAACUGCGACCUCAAGAUCUGCGACUUCGGGCUGGCCCGGCCGUCCUCCGAGAGCGACAUGAUGACGGAGUACGUGGUGACGCGGUGGUACCGCGCCCCCGAGCUCCUGCUCAACUCCACCGACUACUCGGCCGCCAUCGACGUCUGGUCCGUCGGCUGCAUCUUCAUGGAGCUCAUCAACCGCCAGCCCCUCUUCCCCGGCCGCGACCACAUGCACCAGAUGCGCCUCAUCACCGAGGUAACUUUCGGCGUCUCGGGUUGCACGAUGGCAUUUCAGUAUUUCACUCGUGUAUCUCUGACGCCUUCGACCUAUCAUCAUCAUCAUCGGCAGGUGAUCGGGACGCCGACGGAUGAGGAGCUCGGGUUCAUCCGGAACGAGGACGCGCGCAAGUACAUGCGGCACCUGCCGCAGUUCCCGCGGCGGCCGUUCGCGAGCCUGUUCCCGAGGGUGCAGCCCGUGGCGCUGGACCUCAUCGAGCGGAUGCUCACCUUCAACCCGCUGCAGAGGAUCACAGGUCAGCCACACCGGCUCGCCGCCGCGGUUUUGAUUUGCUUUUCUUUUAUCCUCGUGCAACUCGUGCGGCUGCUGAAUCUUUGGGUAUACUCCACGUGCGGUUUUCUAUUCUUGCGUGUUGACCGGUGGUAGAAUCACUGUUCACUACCAUAUUGACGUCGGUGGUUAGUAGUACGUGAGGGCCACUGGCUACCCUUGUGUAUAGGCAAGGAAACACUGGCACAUUUCCGGGUUGGCAUCAAGUAGACAUGGUACUGGCGGCCUCCGGUCAAAGAAAGAGGCGUGCCCUGAGCUAGGUCUGUCCGUCCAACUUUGAGUAGCUUGACUGUUCUGGUCAGGUUCAAAUGCAAUCUUCUUUGUCCAAAGUAGAAACAUUUAAUAAUCCGCAGGGUUUUGUCAGGGUUUCCGGUCAGGGUUGGGUAGGUUGGGGUGUUUGGCAACUGUCACAUCGGAUGUUUGGACACUAAUCAGGAGUAUUAAACAUAGUCUAAUUAUAAAACUAAUUGCGCAACCCCUAGGCUAAAUCGCGAGACGAAUCUAUUAAGUCUAAUUAGUCCAUGAUUUGACAAUGUGGUACUACAGUAACCAUUUGCUAAUGAUGGAUUAAUUAGGCUUAAUAGAUUCGUCUCGCGAUUUAGCCUAGGGGUUCUGCUAUUAGUUUUAUAAUUAGCUUAUAUUUAAUCCUCCUAAUUAGCAUCCGAACAUGUGAUGUGAUAGGGUUAAAGUUUAGCCCCUGGCAUCCAAACGCCCCCGGUUGAAUUGAGACCAUAACAGUCUAACGGAAAAGGGCGGCGUCACUUCUGUCAUUCUGUCGUCAAACAUUUAAGCGCUAUACCCUUGUAUUUAAGGUCCACUGCUAGUUCGCUACUUGCUAGCAUGAAUCUCACUUUUGUUCAGUUUGUUGCCUACCGUUCAACUGAUAGAACAAUAUCCCAGUGGGCUUGCAAAUUUGCAGCUAAAAAGCUGAUCCACAGCAAGUUAGUACAAGACAAAAGAGAGUAGUAGAAAUUAUUAUUUUUUUAAAAACGAAUCAGGAGAAACGCCGAUUAUAUUAAAAAGAAGAAUAAACUCAGACCAGGCAAAUAACGAAAAAAACAACAAAAAAAACAACGAAUACCGGCCAGUUGGAUUGGGACAUCAAUCCGCGUUGUACCACGCCAACGUACUACUCAAAACACAACAUCGGCCGGUUGGAUUGGGGCAUCAACCGGACCUCUCUCAACUCUGCCUGGUCGAAUUAGGAUAUCGACACGAGCCUCAACAAAAGACUCUGCUCGAUCGGAUUGGUACAUCGAUCCGGGCCUCAACUCAAACUCACGCGCAGACAACAUGGUUGGUCAAAAGGGGGCAGCGGCACCACCAUGACACUCCACAACACCGGUGCUCGUGCACCAACAGCAACACCAUCACCAGGGCACAAGGCUGAUAGAGGAUAACCCGUCGUUACCGACAAUGUCCCACGUCGGGCCAGCCACUGCUAUCCAGGGAUAGCCGCCGUGGUUCGCUGCAGGCCGUGUAGCUAUCGAGCCAUCAGAUCCGCUUGUGCUUCCAAACGAAGUUGUCCUACAUCGGACUAAACUCACCAAGCAAGGCUAGCCGCUGUAGAAUGCUGCAAGCCGUCGAACCAAUACAGGAGUAGCUGUCUCCGGACAUCAACUGCCAACCACGUCCCCCGAGAUCUGGUUGUACACUGUGGCACCAAGCAACCUCGCCUCAUCGAGGAAAGCAGGGUGCUGGCAGGGCAUCUGGCAGCCAUCAGAGGAUCACCUCCACGCAGGUCUCUUUAGUGAAGCAGAUCUAUCAGCCACCUCGUACCACGCCAGCCACAUGCCAAAUUCGUGGUCACAACUGGCGCACGGCUCCUCCCUACCGUCGCCCUCAUGCCAAGCAGAAGUCUUGCCCUCUAGACACCGUUUCAAACAUCUACUUCCAGUCGCCUUCCGCCACCGCGGGCAUCCGCACCUUAAGUCAUUGACUAGGCCUCCACCCAUUCCACCACGAGGCCCAAAUCCACCAUGGUCGGAGCUUCGCAUCGACACAGCCGCCGCCUUGCGUGAUCGCUCGCCGCCAAACAAACAGGGAAGCUAUCGGGGCGCUGCCCACCACCAUCAGAACUCCGAAGACGACACCUUCAAGAAGGACACGAUGCUAGCUGCGCUGUCGCCGCCCGCCCAAAAAACUUAAGCAAGGUUUUCACCUGGAGUUUCCGAGAACGACGCGAGGAGAGUGACAUGACAACGUCGCUAACAGGAAAUUGCGGUGCCCAAAGCGUCGCCGUUGUCAACCCGGCACACUGAGCAUGACUUUCGUCCGACACCUCCCCCGAGCAGCUGCCACAAACUUCCCCACCCGUCAUGACUACACCAACACAAACACCUCCCUGCAACCGCCCCGUCACCAACCAGCCGCCUUAGCGCGACCGCCACCGCAUCCUCCCUCGCGCGUAGGCAUUGCCGCGCAAUCACCACCCAACCCGCACGCCGUUGUGGUGCGGUCUCCUCCUUGCCCUGUGCGCCGCCGAGGCCGCACGGCCUCCCUCCUUGUAGAAAUUGCUAUUGCCACAAGACAAACCUUUUGUACAUUCCUUAAGAGAAACUGUGUAAUUAUUCUUGUUUUUCGUUCUGUAUAUUUUAAAUCUUAUGCAUCCGAGUCAUCAAAGUGGUCCUUGCUGAGGAGAGAGCUCUAUAUGCAUUCAAGUUUGUGUCCGUGCCUUUGCAUUUCCACUUAUCUUCAAUUUGCAGUGUUGCUGCUUUGCUCCAUCCUCCCUUAUUUAUGCCUGCUUUGGAGCUUUCUCCGCAUUGCUUUUGUCGAAGUGGCGAUGACCACUAUGUGCAGAAUAAACACGUUCGAUAUGAAAAGAAACAAACACUACAGAAUUACAGAUAAUCUAAGUACUGACUCCAGACUUUGGUUCAGACUCAUGUACCGUGUUCAGACUAGCAGAGUUUUAGCUCAGAGAAUUCGUUAAGGUCCAGGUCUCAUGUCUGACUAAUUUCAGUUCUCACCGAAAUUUCUUUUGCCGUGCAGUUGAAGAGGCGCUGGACCACCCGUACCUGGAGCGAUUACACGACAUCGCUGACGAGCCCAUCUGCACGGAUCCGUUCUCGUUCGACUUCGAGCAGCAGGCUCUGACUGAGGACCAAAUGAAGCAGCUAAUUUUCAACGAGGCCAUCGAAAUGAACCCGAAUUUCCGAUAUUAGAUUGGAUCCCCAGAUGUACGGUUCACAUCUAUGCAUGUUGUUUGUAAAUAGGAGUAAGAUUUAAGAGCCGGGUAGACUGAACAUUGCAUU
rnacentral:lncRNA from 1 species